GACGAACGCUGGCGGCGUGCCUUAUACAUGCAAGUUGAGCGCUGAAGGUUGGUACUUGUACCAACUGGAUGAGCAGCGAACGGGUGAGUAACGCGUGGGGAAUCUGCCUUUGAGCGGGGGACAACAUUUGGAAACGAAUGCUAAUACCGCAUAAAAACUUUAAACACAAGUUUUAAGUUUGAAAGAUGCAAUUGCAUCACUCAAAGAUGAUCCCGCGUUGUAUUAGCUAGUUGGUGAGGUAAAGGCUCACCAAGGCGAUGAUACAUAGCCGACCUGAGAGGGUGAUCGGCCACAUUGGGACUGAGACACGGCCCAAACUCCUACGGGAGGCAGCAGUAGGGAAUCUUCGGCAAUGGACGAAAGUCUGACCGAGCAACGCCGCGUGAGUGAAGAAGGUUUUCGGAUCGUAAAACUCUGUUGGUAGAGAAGAACGUUGGUGAGAGUGGAAAGCUCAUCAAGUGACGGUAACUACACAGAAAGGGACGGCUAACUACGUG
rnacentral:rRNA from 1 species